rnacentral:lncRNA from 1 species
UGAGUGUUCACUUUUUCUUUUACUUGCUCUGUGACUGGCUUAUGAACAGUCUCUCUUUAAGGAAGAUUGUGAUCUUACAUUGAUUGACAGGCAGCAGUCACAGCUCCUAUAAUACGUGUCAUGGCUCCAGACCAAGAGAAAAUUAUUUGUUCACUUGGAAAAUGCUUGUGUUUGACCCCUUCCUGUGCGAGAGAAAAGGUGAUGAGCAGAAGCCACUAUCAUCUCUGCAGAACAUUUUUGACUCAGCAGCUGAAAGUGACAGCUUAGGUUAUAGAAAAUUGGUGGAGAUACAAUUGGAUAAAUAAAAGUCAUUUUUUCUUUCAGAAGUUAGAGUAUAUAAACUAAGAAACAGAAGUUUGCAGAGCCUAAAUAUCCGAACCUUGGAGGAGUGGAAGAUUUGCCCUGAGCUAACAUCUGCUGCUAAUCUUCCUCUUUUUGUAUAUGAGCCACGACGACAGCAUGGCCUCUGACAGAGGAGUGGUGUAGGUCUGCGUCCAGGAACUGCACCCAGGCUGCCAAAGCGGAGCAUGCCGAAAUUAACCACUAGGCCACUGGGGCUGGCCUGCUUAGUAACUUUUUAAACUUAAAAUAUCUUGGUGACAUGUCUGUGCUUAUAGAUCUACCUCAUUUUGGUAAUGGCAUAGGAUUCUAUAUAAAAGACAAAUCAUAAUUUAGCUAACCCUUCCCCAGUGGAUAGAGUUUGAGUUCCCAGUUACCUACCAUCACAAACACUCCUGUGACAAUCAUCCUUGCACCCAUAUCUUUUGGCUCACUUCUACAAGUAUGGGCUUCCUUCUCUAAUGCUAUGUAUGAGCUCCUAAAAAUCCUUACGUUCUUCAAGAUGGUGCAGUUAAGAUACCAGGACAUAAAAUAGAGUGUGGCAGAUCACUCAACACCUAUCCCUCUUGGAAACUAGAGCACCAACAAAACCAAGUUGAUAAUUGGGGACAUCAUGUGGGCUGUCCAGGCAAGAGAGCUCUGUGUGCCUGGGGCUGCCACGGUGGAGAUUAAAAAUGUACAAAGUCAGUAAAUGGAAAUGCUGAUAAAAGUAGGGCUG